AGCGGGUUCGUGUUGAACUGGACGGCGAGCGAUUGCAGCUCGUGCGAGGGGAGUGGCGGCAAGUGCGGGUUCGAUCAUGAGAGCUACCAUUUCCAGUGUUUCUGCCCCGACCGGCCUCAUGCUGGGUCUUGUGCUCCUGCGCAGCAUGGCAUUUGGGUGAUGAAAGUUGCAAUAGCUGCAUCAGGAGUUGGGAUUGUGAUUAUCAUUC